rnacentral:rRNA from 1 species
GACGAACGCUGGCGGCGUGCUUAACACACGCAAGUCGAACGGAAAGGCCCUGCUUUUGUGGGGUGCUCGAGUGGCGAACGGGUGAGUAACACGUGAGUAACCUGCCCUUGACUUUGGGAUAACUUCAGGAAACUGGGGCUAAUACCGGAUAGGAGCUCCUGCUGCAUGGUGGGGGUUGGAAAGUUUCGGCGGUUGGGGAUGGACUCGCGGCUUAUCAGCUUGUUGGUGGGGUAGUGGCUUACCAAGGCUUUGACGGGUAGCCGGCCUGAGAGGGUGACCGGCCACAUUGGGACUGAGAUACGGCCCAGACUCCUACGGGAGGCAGCAGUGGGGAAUAUUGCACAAUGGGCGGAAGCCUGAUGCAGCAACGCCGCGUGCGGGAUGACGGCCUUCGGGUUGUAAACCGCUUUCGCCUGUGACGAAGCGUGAGUGACGGUAAUGGGUAAAGAAGCACCGGCUAACUACGUGCCAGCAGCCGCGGUGAUACGUAGGGUGCGAGCGUUGUCCGGAUUUAUUGGGCGUAAAGGGCUCGUAGGUGGUUGAUCGCGUCGGAAGUGUAAUCUUGGGGCUUAACCCUGAGCGUGCUUUCGAUACGGGUUGACUUGAGGAAGGUAGGGGAGAAUGGAAUUCCUGGUGGAGCGGUGGAAUGCGCAGAUAUCAGGAGGAACACCAGUGGCGAAGGCGGUUCUCUGGGCCUUUCCUGACGCUGAGGAGCGAAAGCGUGGGGAGCGAACAGGCUUAGAUACCCUGGUAGUCCGCGCUGUAAACGGUGGGUACUAGGUGUGGGGUCCAUUCCACGGGUUCCGUGCCGUAGCUAACGCUUUAAGUACCCCGCCUGGGGAGUACGGCCGCAAGGCUAAAACUCAAAGGAAUUGACGGGGCCCCGCACAAGCGGCGGAGCAUGCGGAUUAAUUCGAUGCAACGCGUAGAACCUUACCUGGGUUUGACAUGGAUCGGGAGCGCUCAGAGAUGGGUGUGCCUCUUUUGGGGUCGGUUCACAGGUGGUGCAUGGCUGUCGUCAGCUCGUGUCGUGAGAUGUUGGGUUAAGUCCCGCAACGAGCGCAACCCUUGUUCACUGUUGCCAGCACGUUAUGGUGGGGACUCAGUGGAGACCGCCGGGGUCAACUCGGAGGAAGGUGGGGAUGACGUCAAGUCAUCAUGCCCCUUAUGUCCAGGGCUUCACGCAUGCUACAAUGGCUGGUACAGAGAGUGGCGAGCCUGUGAGGGUGAGCGAAUCUCGGAAAGCCGGUCUCAGUUCGGAUUGGGGUCUGCAACUCGACCUCAUGAAGUCGGAGUCGCUAGUAAUCGCAGAUCAGCAACGCUGCGGUGAAUACGUUCCCGGGGCU